rnacentral:rRNA from 1 species
UACGGAGGGUGCAAGCGUUGCUCGGAAUUAUUGGGCGUAAAGCGAGAGUAGGUGGUCCUGUUUGUCCCGGGUGAAAGCCCAAGGCUCAACCUUGGAAGUGCCCUGGAAACGGCAGGACUAGAGUCCUAGAGAGGAUUGCGGAAUUCCCGGUGUAGCGGUGAAAUGCGUAGAGAUCGGGAGGAACACCUGAGGCGAAAGCGGCGAUCUGGAUAGGUACUGACACUCAAUCUCGAAAGCGUGGGGAUCAAACAGG